rnacentral:lncRNA from 1 species
AGGGCUCUGCAGAUGCUAGGCCUCUUUGAAAUCCAUCUGCCCAACAGUUGCAAGCCCCAGCUGCUGCCUUGAGGCUUCAGGCGGUGGGGAGAGAAUCAAUUAUCCGACCUCAGCCGCUGCAGCCUGUGCCCCAGCCACGCCUAUGAAGCUGCGCUUAAUGUGGACCUAAGCACUCCAACAACUGCCUUUUGCCCGUGGUCCCCACCUGGCAACGCGAUAAACAUGGUCUCCGCUAUCAGGAGAGUUUAGCAACACCGGAGAUAGGGACCAGCAUGCACUGCACCUUCCGUGUCAGACGCCUUGUGCACAAGGAGGAAAGGUUUCCUGUGGCUUACUGUUCAGUGACACACAACCUAUCAAAGCAUGGUGCAGAAGAGCAGAACAAGAGGCAGCUCUGAGUGCUUGUUGGCCAGCUUUCUCUACAUAGCCCUGGCUGUCCCUGAACCCACUAUAUACAACAGGCUGACCUUGAACUCACACGCACCACCACACCCAGCCCCAUGCAAAAAGAGCCAGUCCCUACUCCAACCCCAGAAGUGGGUAGGCUGGGAAGAAGGCUUCGGCAGCAGAGUAUCGCUGCCUUCAGGAGGAGACACGGCAGCUUAGGAGGGCCAAGGAAGGCUUGCCUUCAUCCCAGGUUAUACCUAAGGUGAAGUGCUCUAGGCAUGGACCACCUGGACUUAAGGGGGUUUGGGAGGUCACCUCUUCCUUUGGCUAUGGUCUUCUUCACAAGGCUAGAGGGACAUAUUUACAGCUAUCACCUCUGACUCUAGAUAUCAUCCUUUGGGUAACCAGGAAUGCAGUCUGUCUAAGUGGCCUCCAGUCUGAUCUCAGGGCCAACACAGGCCUCUCUUGUCUGAGCUCUUCUCUCAGAGUGGAUGUCAACUGCUUACUCAGAAGCCUCAGGGCUGACAGCACAUGCAGGUGGUGGUGCUGGAGAGAUAGCUAGUGGGACAGUGCUGUUGAUUAGCUUUAGACACAGGGAUAGGGUCCACUCAUCCAAGGCCUCAAGUGUUCUAAAGAUUGAAGCUGGGGGCUGGAAUAGAAGCAAGGAUAAGAUACAGGCCCAUAAACGUCUAUUGAGGCUACAGAGAUGGCUCAGUGGUUAAGAGCACCAACUGCUCUUCCAGAGGUCCUGAGUUCAAUUCCCAGCAACCAUAUGGUGGCUCACAACCAUCUGUAAUGGAAUUUGGUGCCCUCUUCUGGUGUGUCUGAAGACAGCAACAGCAACAGUGUAUUCAUACAUUAAAUAAAUAAACCUAAAACAAAACAAAA